GGGUGUUUAGCUCAGUUGGUUAGAGCGCCAUGCUCACACCGUGGAGGUCACUGGUUCGAAUCCAGUAACACCCA
rnacentral:tRNA from 1 species